ensembl:lncRNA
AAAUUCUGCUACCUCCGUUAUGUUCUCAUCACGUAUAUACCAGUCAGCUAAUACCCCCGAAAUCAUUUUCAGCCCCUUGUAACAAAAAAGUGUGUGGGGGUGGUGAAUGUCUAGAAAAAUACAGGGUCAGAAAAGGAAAGUUUUAGUAGCUCCUGGGAAUCACUUCAGGACUCAAGAACAGUAAUUCCUGAGCUUAAAGGUUUUGGUCCUCAGUCACCACAGGGUCAGUAGAUUAGAUGGAAGGAUCCUCUCAGGCAUCUCAGGAAAUAAGCUCCCAACGUGUCAGAGACCAAUUUUCAAAAAGUUAAACACAUGAAUCUCACACACUAGAGUCUAAACUUGAGUCCAAAUGUUAUUCAACUCAUCUUACUGAGGAGACCAGUAAAGUGGUAAAGAAUGCUUUUAAAUAUAGUACUUUUACGGCACCAAGCUGGGGCCAAAGAAGCAAAUUUUCUUUGUUGGACAUAAACAGUUAAUGUUUUAAAAGGUAAUAAAUCUAUAAGCUUUGGAUUUAUCUUCUCCUGUGACAAAAGUCUACAAAUUAACAUUAUUCUAUUUUUAUGAAACACAGUGAAGGACAUCCAGAUUUGGACUCCUCCAUCUUACACUUCCCAUCCAAGCUUUCCUGGAGGGGAAUCUGUCCUCCCUCUGUCAACUCUCUCACCCAGUCUUCACUUCUCACCCUGCUGACAUGUGGCCUCUCCUGUAUUCCUUUCCAGCAGCCUCAGUAGAUCACAUUCAACCGAUGAUCAAGCCCCUUCACCUGAAAAACCAAAGCACAUCUUCUGGGAUUCCUAAGGCACUUGCCCUGCCAGGGUCUCGUAAUUCCUGAAUUCUAAUUUCAUAUUCCUGGUAGUCCACUUCUCCUAGGUCAUGUGAUUUAUCUCCACCUUCCUCUGUUUAUAUCGUUUCAUGGACUUUUCUACAUCUUCACCUAAACCCAAGGACUCUUCACGUCAUUCCCAGGAGCCCUCAGCUCUCAUGUUGCCUCUGAUUCCCUGCUCUCCUAUAAUCUCACCAAUGCUCAUCCCAUCACAGACCCAUGAGUGCAGCAGUGUCCUCUCUGGCCUCCCUGUCUCCAGUGGUGAAGUUGGGGAAGGGUGGCCCUAGGUAUGCCUCCCACCCUAAUGUUCCUACUUCAGGGUAAGCUCCCUGAGCAGGGAUGAGGCUGUCUAGCACAGCCUGGCAUUCCACUGCCAACCACCAGACUCAACACCAGAUUGGAAAACAGCUCCAGAGGAAGGAUAUCGUUUGUUUGAGGUCACCCGGUUUGCGAAGAUGAAGUCAGAGUUUACAGCCCAUGUUGUUCACCGAUGAGUUACGUCACUAACCACGUUCCAAAGUGAUGCUGAUGGAAAGAAUGCUGGUGCUUCAGAGUCCUGGGGCAACCUUGAGAAGCUGCAGAGGAGUGGACGACCACGAGCUGGGGCUUGGUAUUUAUCGCUGGGUGGAUAUGCAAGCUGAGGGGGUUUGGAGAAGAAAGAUGCAGAGAGAAAUGAGCUUGACUGGGGAAAACGAGCAGAGAGGGAGAAGAGAGAGUUGGGGCAGCUGCCAAAAGGAAUGGAAAUCUGGGAAGACAGAGCGACUGGAAGGGGAUUUUGAAGAAGCUUUGCUCUCGGGUGUACUUUGUGAUGGCUAUUCUCUGGCCUCCACUAAACCUUCAGGAAAAUCCCUACUUUUCCUCAAUGCCUUUAGAGGUGGAUCCAGGGUUACUCAUUGUACUGCUCACGGAUGGCAGUGCUUCAUUUUCAUAUUCCCACCUGCCUCAAUACUUGUUAUCCUACUGUUUCAAGAUAGGAAAACCAACUCCUAUCAUAACCCCUAAUGGGUUCUAUCUGGUAUCUCCUACGGGACUUAAGGGUAGUAAUACUCUACAAAAAUCAGUUGGUUUUCUAAUUAACAACAAAGAACAAGAUUAAGAGGAUAUUAAGAAAGCAGUUCCAUUUCCAAAAGCAUCAAAAAUAAUAAAAUAGAAAAGGCUGUAAACUGAAAAAUACAAAUAUUACUGAGAAAAACUAAUUUAAAUAAGUGAAAGGGCAGCCAUGUUCAUGGAUUGGAUGACAAUACUGUGCAGGUAUCCAUCAAUACCACCCACAUCGAUCUCCACAUUCAAUGCCAUCUCAUUCAGUGCUCACCUCCCUCAGGUCAAUCCACAACGUCUCCUGCUCUUCCCUGUGGUUCCUUGGUUGGGAAAGUGCUGGAUAAACAUCUGUUCUUUUGGAUUCAGAUCCUAGACACCUGACACUCAAUAACUCCAUGGAGCUCUUAAAAAAAUCUUGAUUAGGGCCCAGUACAUUACAGUCACAGGCUGUGAGAGUUUUUAGUACAGCAAUGCGAGAAGAGCCCUAAAAUAGGGAGGAGGUUCCAUUGUAGUAAGGUUCCUGUUCUAUCAGCCCUCACACUGAGUAAAACUACAGAACUUGAUUAAAAAUCUAUUUGCUACAUCAAACAGUCAUAUAAAGUCAGGAAUUUAUAUUUAUUUUAAACUAAUAUGCGUAUUAUAAAAUUACAUAUAAAAACAUAAAUAUAUGUAAUGUAUUAUAUGGAGAGAACUUCGUAUGUAAAAUGCAUUAUAAUGUAUGAAAUGCUAUAUAUUGCAUAUUAUGUGUUACAUGUUGCAUAUUAUAUAUGUUGUAUAUUAUAUGUUACAUAGAGAGAGAGAGAAAAAGAAGAGAGGAUGUAGGGCAAUUUCAUUUUCCGAUUCUAGGAAAAUAAUGAAACCCAAACCAUCAGGAACGGUAUCACUUGAGCAGAGCAUAGGUGCAAGUACCAUCCGUGUUAUAUGCAGAAACAUUCACCUUGACCCCAGGGGGCAUCUGGGAUGAGACUAGAUGACUGAAAUCUCUGGGCGAUGGUGAACACAGAAUUGGGGGACAGCAGCUAUGAAGACGCACUGAGCCACAUGCCGGACGCCCCAAGCGCAGAGCGAGCUUGUGAGCUUCUAGAGGUGGAGACUUGACACACUGCGGGAGAGGAAAAUGAAGUUACUGGACCCACUGAAACGGGACUCAUUGAUCCUCUAGCCCAUGGUGGGCAGUGUGCAUCAGCAUGGUCCUUCAGAGUUUUAGAUGCUCCUUCUCUUCAAAUUUCGUGCUCAUCAAAGUACAUAUUUUUCUGCACUGUAUCAAAGAAUCCUUUGUUUAAUAGAAGACACAGAAUAAUUCGGUAUGGACCUUUGUCUGAGGCUGAGUAAUAUUUCUUGGCAUUAUCUUUAUCUAUUCAUCUGUCGAUGGACACUAAGCUGUUUCCAUACCUUGGCUCUUGUGAACAAGGCUGCAGUCAACACAAGAAUGCACAUGUCUCUUUGAGAUUCCGAUGUCAAUUCUGGUGGAUAUAUACCCCAAAGUGGGAUCGCUGGAUUGUGCUGAGUGAAAGAAGCCAGUCACAGAAGGACAAAUAUUGUGUGAUUCCACUUAUGUGAGCUAUCUGAAACGGUUCAACUCACUAUAGUUGACAACACUGCAUUGUGUCAUUGAAAUUUGCGAAGAGAGAACUUAAAUAUGCUUGCAAGAAAAAGAGAGAAAGAGAAGAAAAGAGAAACCUGUGUGGUGACGGAUGUGUUAUUUAUCCUGAUGAGGGGAAUCCUUUCGCAAUGUAUCAAAUCAUGUCAUUGUAAAUAGCUAACACGUUUAUUUGGCAGUGAUGCCCUAUUAAAACUGAAAAAAUACCCCCCAAACCAAAAAAGAAGGAAAAAAUGUCAAACUCACAGAAACAGAGGAGAAUGGUGAUUGCCAGGAGCUGGGGGAAGAGGAAAGAGGGAGCUGCUGUCUGACAGGCACAAAGUUUCAGUCGUGCAAGAUGAAGGCAUCAGAAGAGAUCACAUUCAUGUGCUUAGAGAACGUCACAUGUGCUCUGUGUCCUCCACGUAGGCAGGGCGGGAUGGCUGAAGUGGGCUGGAGUCCCCACAGGGUCUUGGGCUGAGUUUGUGCUGACACAGCCCCGCUCUGUGUCUGAGUCACUGGGACAGAAGGCCACCAUCUCCUGCACCCGCAGCAGUGGCAACAUUGGAAACAGCUACGUGUACUGGUACCAGCAGCACCCGGGCAUUGCCCCCAAGACCGUGAUCUACGAUGAUGACAAAAGACCCUCUGGGGUUGCCAAUUGAUUCUCUGGCUCCAUCGACAGCUC